UGCCGUCAGGCGGUUAGGGGUGUCGUGAUCCGCGGAGGAGUUAAAUACGAGUGACCUCCGCGCAGGAGUGAGACGUGGGAGAGAGAUCCACGGAGGGAAAGCAGUCCGAGCCAUCGUGCGAACAUGUCUGAGCCCAUUAGAGUUCUGGUGACCGGUGCUGCCGGGCAGAUCGCCUAUUCCCUGCUGUUCAGCAUCGCCAAGGGAGAUGUCUUUGGCAAAGAUCAGCCGGUCGUCUUGCUCCUCUUGGACAUCACGCCCAUGCUGCCGGUCCUGGAUGGCGUCGUCAUGGAGCUGCAGGACUGCGCUCUCCCACUUCUGAGAGAUAUCGUCCCCACCGACAAGGAGGACGUGGCCUUCCGGGACCUGGACGCAGCCAUCUUGGUGGGCUCCAUGCCUCGGAGGGAGGGCAUGGAGAGGAAGGACCUGCUCAAAGCCAACGUGGCCAUCUUCAAGAGUCAGGGAGCCGCUCUGGAGAAGUUCGCCAAGAAGACCGUCAAGGUGCUUGUUGUAGGAAACCCCGCCAACACCAACUGUCUGAUAGCAGCCAAGUCGGCUCCCUCCAUCCCCAAGGAGAACUUCUCCUGCCUCACCCGUCUGGACCACAACAGGGCUCGCUCUCAGGUGGCAAUGCGCUGUGGCGUCCCCGCCACACAGGUGAGGAACGUGAUCAUCUGGGGCAACCACUCGUCCACCCAGUACCCAGACGUGCACCACUGCCUGGUCAACAUGUCCGGCAGCGAGCUCGCUUGCUUCGAAGCGGUGAAGGACGACGCCUGGCUCAAAGGAGAUUUCAUCGCCACCGUGCAGCAGAGAGGCGCCGCCGUCAUCAAGGCCAGGAAGCUGUCCAGUGCCAUGUCCGCCGCUAAGGCCAUCUGUGACCACAUGAAGGACAUCUGGUCGGGCACCCCCGAGGGGGAGUUUAUCUCCAUGGGUAUCUACUCCUCCGGCAACUCCUACGGAGUCCCAGAGGACCUCAUCUACUCAUUCCCUGUCCAGAUCAAGGACAAGACCUGGAAGAUCGUGGACGGCCUCGCCGUCAACGACUUUUCACGAUCAAAGAUGGAGGCCACGGCGGCAGAGCUGAUGGAGGAGAGAGACACUGCUGUGUCUUUCCUGGGAGUAUGACUACACCCAGCAACGCCGCCCUACCAGCACUCAGACGGACGCCAAACUCCAGACGCACGCUUGUGACGAAGCACUCCGACAAUCCCAGAGUGUGUGUGUGUGUGUGUAUGUGUGUGUGUGUGUGUGUAUUUUUACUGCCCUCCAGUCUUGUUUGUUUUACGUAACGCCGUGUGUGCGUCCUCGGCAGCCUUUCUUUGUACACUCCCUGUGAUGUCACAUUAUGAUCUUUGUGUCCAGUGAAACCUCCAUGAGGCCUCGGCCCAGCUGUCACUCGGCACGCGCACACAUACACACACACACACACACACAGCCUGUAAGCAAUAAGUGUUGAUCUGUGACCACGUGUCGAAUAAAGUGCAAUAUGACCUAA